GACGAACGCUGGCGGCGUGCUUAACACAUGCAAGUCGAACGGAAAGGCCCUGCUUUUGUGGGGUGCUCGAGUGGCGAACGGGUGAGUAACACGUGAGUAACCUGCCCUUGACUUUGGGAUAACUUCAGGAAACUGGGGCUAAUACCGGAUAGGAGCUCCUGCUGCAUGGUGGGGGUUGGAAAGUUUCGGCGGUUGGGGAUGGACUCGCGGCUUAUCAGCUUGUUGGUGGGGUAGUGGCUUACCAAGGCUUUGACGGGUAGCCGGCCUGGGAGGGUGACCGGCCACAUUGGGACUGCGAGACGGCCCAGACGCCUACGGGAGGCAGCAGUGGGGAAUAUUGCACAAUGGGCGGAAGCCUGAUGCAGCAACGCCGCGUGCGGGAUGACGGCCUUCGGGGUGUAAACAGCUUUGGCCUGUGACGAAGCGUGAGUGACGGUAAUGGGUAAAGAAGCACCGGCUAACUACGUG
rnacentral:rRNA from 1 species